GGUGGUUCUCAGGUGACAUAUGCUGGAAUCGGGCUCCCUUCUCUCUGGUUCUGGGUGCUUCACCCAAGAACCGCU
rfam:Myotis lucifugus cont2.30255, whole genome shotgun sequence.